rnacentral:lncRNA from 1 species
CUCGACCUCUCGCUCCCUGCUCCUCCUACCGCACCGUUCGCCGCCCCACAACCGCUCGCCGCUUCGCCGCCUUCCGCAGCCGCGUCCCUUCGCCGUCGCCCACCUACUGCCCUUCUCUCCCUGCACUUCUCCACCCUUACGCAGCCGCCGCCAGCGCCUUGUGCCCCAACGCCGCUAUCGCCAUCACCUCCUCCCCAUGGUCCGCGAGCUAGACGCGCUGCCGGGAAGAAUCCACCAUCUACGGCCUUGCGGCGCUCGCCGGGGACACCGCCGCCGCCGUCUCUAUCCUUUCCGGAUGCCUUUGUCUCCUCUCUACAGCGGCCUCCUCAUCUCUUCACGGCUGCUCCAGAGGUCGCCCCCUCGAGCAUCGCGUCCUCUUCCCCACCACCAACUCGCCGCCGCCUCCUCCCUUCGGUUCUCUCCUCGAAGCUCCAUCAAGUGGUCACUGCCGCCUGCUGCCUCUUCUCUCCUGCAGGACGACGCCUCCCCAUCCACCAUCUGCCGCCGCUGAACUGGGUGGCAGUUGCGGCCAUGGGGGAGUAGGGGUGGCAUGGUCUUCAUGGUCGUUAUGUACAAGAAGACGAGGACGGCAGUGGGGGGAACGAGCAGC